rnacentral:rRNA from 1 species
GACGAACGCUGGCGGCGUGCUUAACACAUGCAAGUCGAACGGAAAGGCCCUUCGGGGUACUCGAGUGGCGAACGGGUGAGUAACACGUGGGUGAUCUGCCCUGCACUCUGGGAUAAGCCUGGGAAACUGGGUCUAAUACCGGAUAGGACCACACACUUCAUGACGAACGCUGGCGGCGUGCUUAACACAUGCAAGUCGAACGGAAAGGCCCUUCGGGGUACUCGAGUGGCGAACGGGUGAGUAACACGUGGGUGAUCUGCCCUGCACUUUGGGAUAAGCCUGGGAAACUGGGUCUAAUACCGAAUAGGACCAUGGCAUGCAUGUGCUGUGGUGGAAAGCUUUUGCGGUGUGGGAUGGGCCCGCGGCCUAUCAGCUUGUUGGUGGGGUGAUGGCCUACCAAGGCGACGACGGGUAGCCGGCCUGAGAGGGUGUCCGGCCACACUGGGACUGAGAUACGGCCCAGACUCCUACGGGAGGCAGCAGUGGGGAAUAUUGCACAAUGGGCGCAAGCCUGAUGCAGCGACGCCGCGUGAGGGAUGACGGCCUUCGGG